GGAGGUAACUCAUAAGCUUUUAUGUAAACAAAGAAAAAGACGAAGUAUGUGUGUUUUUUGAUAGUCUUUGUUGAACGAUAGCAUCAAUGUCAACAGUUAUCCGGUUCUUAAACAUAACAUAAAAUGGCUGGUGGUGUGUUUCAUGUUGAAUUUGGUAUCAAUGAAACAUCUUUGACUAGAGCCUUAGAAAGUGGCAGCUAUGGUGCAGCAGAAAGAUUGAUUAGAGAGAAUAUUAAUCCAUCUUAUCUAGAUGAAGGUUGUUAUCAGAGAACACCUUUGUUUAUAUGUUUAUGUGGAACAGAUGAGGAACAAACAAAAGUUCGACCCCGCCAUUUGUAUCUAGCUAAACUUUUAGUAGAGAGAGGUGUAAAUGUUAAUCUUCGAGUGCCAACAACAUAUUUUGGAAGUGAAUAUGAAGGACCCGGAAAAACUGCUUUAGAACUACUAACCGAUUUUUAUAAUGAUCUGACAAAAACUCCAAAUCUUCACAGCAAUCAGAUAUGGUCAGGUUACCACAGUACAUGGGAUCCACAUGUAGAUUUGGUCAUAGGGUUAAAUAAACAAUAUCUUACAGCACCAGAAGACGUUAUAGAACAUGUGGAGGAUCUUAUCUUUGUUAUAUUGAGUAAUGGAGGAGAUCCAAACAUUCAUGACGUAUGUAAACUAACACCGCUACACAAAACAGCUAUAUAUAGCCAUGAUGAUAGACUCUUACGCUUAUUGUGUGAGAAUGGUGCUAAUAUCAAUGCUGUUGAUCGAAAAGGGAAUUCCCCAUUGUUGUCUAUGUGUGAUACAUCAUGUACAGAUAUGUAUGAGUACUUAGAAGAUCUUUCACUGUGUAGUGACGACACACUGGAGGAUAAUAGUGCUAGUCUGUGUGUGAAACAAGACUUCCUCAAGUAUAUGUUGUCUAUCAAAGAUACAGAGGUCAAUAUUCAAAAUAAUCGUGGUCAGACAGCAUUAUUCCAUUGUGUGAUAAGAGGUGAUAUCAGUGCUUGUAACAAACUGCUGAAGAAAGGUGCUAAUGCUGCUCUCAGGGGUACUGUGUGGGAAACACGCAAACAAAAAAGAAAAAUGUCACCAAUAUUUGCAAGUUUUCUGUCUAUUCCAAUACAACGAUCAUUAAACUGGAGAAAUCUACAUAGUGAACUAGCAUCAGCUCCUCACCAAUAUGGUCACCUAGUAGAUAUGGGAUACUUUAACAGGAAGGAAAUUGUAGAAGAAAUGUCAGAAUAUUUGGAGAAUGAUUUCCCAGAGUUUUCUCAUUUAAGAUCAGUCUGUGAUAAACUUGUGAACUACAUGUUUGGUCGAACUUCGUCUACCCUACAACAAACUGCAACACGUGUAAUUUUCAAACAGUGUUUUCUGGGAAAAACUUGCUCAUUAACCCAAUUAAUGCCAGCAGACACACUGAAGCAAAGAUUUUCUGAUGCAGAUCUGAGUAACUUAGAUGUUUAUGAUGAAUAUAUCAAUUUUGUUCUAAAUAAAACGGUUCUAAGAACAUUAGUUGACAAACUGAAUCUUCCUCAUGAUUCCAUUUUGAGUUUUGAAAUUGAGCUACUUCUGCACCAGAUGGCGAGUCGCUUUGGGGCUUGUAAAGUUCUUCCACCAGAGAACAUGUUUAAUGGGGAAAGUGAUAGUAGUUUUUCUAGUGAUGAUAGCAACAAUUCAUCUUUCAGUCCUGAUGAAGGUGACUCAGAUUUAGAGUACUGGUGAAGUUACUAAAAUAACAGUGAUACGUUUAUAAUAGAGCUCAAGAUUCAUUUAUUUUCUUGGGUACCAAUUGUCGUGGAUUGAGGAAAGAUGGUCUUUUCGAAGUUUUACAAAAGUUUGCACACAAGCCUAUAGGGAAUUGGUACUUUGUCAAACACAUGAAUUUGUGGUUCACCUAUCCCCAUGAAAUCCACGAAAAAUUGGUACUCCAGGAGUUAUAAUGAAUCCAUAGCAGUGAUAUAUUUGCAGAAUAUAUAUAUAUGUUAGUGGAGAUACAGGGUGUACAGUAUUUGGUUAUAACUUUAAGUUUGGCUGUAACAUUACAAUUUUCUCUGUGAUACUAUUUUUAUUAUUUUAUUUAUUUGUGAUAUUCUACUCUGUUGUUCUGUGAUGUCAUUGUUAAUAAUAUCAUAUCAUUACGUGAUCCAGUCUAUAGUGCUUGAAAAUUUGAAGAAGCUUCAUUAGAGAUCAAAUAAAAUACUGGUCAAAUCACUUCCUAUCAAAAUUGAUAUUCAUAAGACUUUCUGAUUUUUAUUUGAUUUAUUUGCUAGAAUGGAACUAGGGUUUCAAUCUUAUAAGGACUGUUGUAUCUGGAAAUAUUUACUGAUAAAUUCCACCAUAAAGAAAAAAAUAGUUGAAAUAAAUAAGUAAAAAUUGAUUCAGAAAUUUACAGAAAUUAAAUAAAUGUUUCUCACUACACCAACACAUGUGGUAUUAUUUAAACUUCAACAGAUUUGUAGUAUGAUGACUAUCUUCAAUAUAAAUUUCAGAAAAUUGUUGCUCAAAGUAAUUAAAAAAUCACUGAAACUUUCGUUCAAAGUAAUGUCAUGAUCAUUUACUUAAAAUAAAGCAGACUUCGUUAAACAAUAUUAUUAUUACUUUUAAAUUGUAGAAUUUAAAUGUUUUAAACAUUUUCAUCUGCUCAAUAUUUUAUAUUUACCUAGUAAAUCACUAACUAUUUUGUCUAUAUUUUAAUCAGAAUCUGUGUUAUAGAGAGGAUUAUACAUAUUUAUUUUUUUUUGUAUGUAAAAGUUUCAGACUAUAAUAUAUUUUAUAAUAUAGACUUGGCACGAUUUAAAUCUAGACAUACAUUGUAUACUAUUGUGAAGGCUGUAUGUUGCCUUCUAGAUGGGCUGCUAUCUCAUUGACAUUUAUCCAACCUUUCCUUUCAUUCAUAUAUAUUUUUUUUAAAUUGUUAAUGAUUUCGGAAUUGUCUUUAUAUAUUCUAGGAUGUUUUUUUUUUAAAUAACUUAGAAUAUUUGUUGAAUAUGCUUAUUGUCUCUUUAUAUGAUGGUGUUCUUAAUUCCAGUAAUUUAUGACAGUAAUUGAUCCAUCCGUUUCAUAGUGUAACUUUGAAAAUUUGACCUCAGUUUGAUCUUAUUUGUAGUGAUCUUAAUCUAUUGAAACGGACUUUCUUCUGUAUAUUUUUUCUCUCACAACAUGGGGGACAUAGAUAUAGGCUUCAUCUGUCUGUUUACAAAAUUUUGUAAUGCAAUUCAUUUUUAACAACUACAUGUAUUUUGGUCAUCAACAUAACUUUGGAGGUGGUAAAUUCAACAUUCUACCAGUCUGUAAGGUUUGCUGCCAUCUUGAAUUAUGGAAUUUUUUUGGGGGUAGGUGAUUUCUUCAGUAAAAUACAGAAAAAUGAAAAUAAUUAUUUUAUAUAUUACAGAACAGUCACACUUUUUACCUGAAAACCUUAAAACUAAAUAAUAAAAAAGGGAACAUUUUGACUAUUUAGCAUUACAAUGAAGAUAACUGUAUAUGUAUUUUAAGCUUGGUCUAUUUUAAAUAUUGGUUUUACUGUUGCAAAUAUCCUUUUAAUCAAUUUGCAACAGUAAAACCUAUGUUUUAGGUUGGCUAAGCUCAAAUUCAUAUACAAUUGUCUCCUAAAUUUCAGGUAAACUUUUGUAUGGAGACUACAAAUUUGAAUAUCUUGUAUAAUUAGUAUGUUUAUAAAAUCUUUAAUAUGAAAGUGAUUUGUCAAGUAUUUUGUUGUACGUGCAUGGUACUUUAUAUACCCCUUGUUAAAAAUGGAGAUUAUAUUGCUUUACCUCUGUUUGUCUCUUUUUCCAUCCAUCUGUCCAUGGCAUCCUUAACACUUAUCUGUCCAUUUUUAUACCACCGCAAAAAUUUUUGCGGUAGUAUAUUGGUAUGACGUCGUCGUCGUCGUCCGAAGACACAUUGGUUUUCGCACUCUAACUUUAGUUUAAGUGAAUGGAUCUCUAUGAAAUUUUACCAUAAGGUUCAAUACCACAAAAGGAAGGUUGGGAUUGAUUUUGGGGGUUAUGGUACCAACAGUUAAGGAAAAAGGGGCCAAAAAUAAGCAUUUUUGUAACUUCCAGACAUAACUUCUGUGUUAGUGUAUGGAUCUCUCUGACAUUGUACCACAAGGUUCCAUAUCACAAAGGCAAUGCUGGGAUUGAUUUUGGGAGUAAUUGCCUCAAAAUAUUAGGAAUUAGGGGCCAAAAAAGGGGCAAAAAACAAGCAUUUUUCUAGUUUCAUGACAAUAACUUGUGUUUAAGUGUAUGGAUCUUUCUGAAAUUGUACUACAAGGUUCCAUAUCACAAAGGGAAAGCUGGGUUUGAGUUUGGGGGUAAUUGGCCUAAACGUUUAGGAAUUUGGGGCCAAAAAGGGGCCAAAAAACACAUGUUUCUAGUUUCCAGACAAUAACUUGUGUUCAAGUGUAUGGAUUUCUCUGAAAUUGUACUGCAAGGUACCAUACCACAAAGGGAAGGCUGGAAUUGAGUUUGGGGGUGAUGAAUCAUAAG